UACGGAGGGUGCGAGCGUUGUCCGGAAUCACUGGGCGGAAAGGGCGCGUAGGCGGCUUCUCAAGCGUGUGGUGAAAGUCCGGGGCUCAACCCCGGAUCGGCCGUGCGGACUGGGGAGCUCGAGUUCUGUAGAGGCGGGUGGAAUUCCGGGUGUAGCGGUGGAAUGCGUAGAGAUCCGGAAGAACACCGGUGGCGAAGGCGGUCUGCUGGGCAAUCGCUGACACUGAGGCGCGACAGCGUGGGGAGCAAACAGG
rnacentral:rRNA from 1 species